GCCGCUGGUUGGUCUCGUUUGAAAGUGCGAAAGUUUAGAAUUUACUCUCGUUUUAUCUCAAGUCAAUGGACUAAGUAAAACGUAACACAUAUCCAAGCAGCCAUUCUGACGUCACAAUGGAAGCACGAGCAAGGAUCCACUGAACGAGAGGGAGGGAGGAGAGUAGCGAGCGGCGAUCGACUUUGUUUGACUUUGUGAUUGAAUCGAAAACUAAAUUUAACCCAAGCAGAUGCACUUUUUCAUCAACUCAAGUAAGAGGAUCAAAUUUGUCAUCGUCUUCUUUGGAUGACAUGAGAGUGAAGAGAGUGACGGAUAUAAACACGUGUUCGACGCCAUUGACGAGAAGAGUUACAAGAUGUGAUAUGAUUAACCCGAAGAAAGAAAGAACCAAAAAGACAAGGGCUGACGGGAGAAGCAUAUGCUUAUCAAGUCCCGUCCCCUGCAGCCAAGGACGCACAAUCAAAACAUGGUAGAGUAGGCCCUUUUUGUGUUAGAUGGUAUAUAUUUUUUCACUGUUUUGCAAUGUAUCCACUGUAUAAAACCUGUUUUCACCAGAGCAUGUAUAAAGGCCAACAACGCCUAU